GGUCGGUUAGCUCAGUUGGUUAGAGCGUGGUGCUAAUAUCAUCCGAUAUCAUCCGAUGUCCUCCGAUAUACGGCACGCCAAGGUCGCGGGUUCGACCCCCGUACUGACCA
rfam:Aureobasidium subglaciale EXF-2481 unplaced genomic scaffold scaffold_11, whole genome shotgun sequence.